GCGGGAAUAGCUCAGUGGUAGAGCAUCGCCUUGCCAAGGCGAGGGUCGCGGGUUCAAGUCCCGUUUCCCGCUCCA
rnacentral:tRNA from 1 species